GACGAACGCUGGCGGCGUGCUUAACACAUGCAAGUCGAACGGAAAGGCCCUGCUUUUGUGGGGUGCUCGAGUGGCACACGGGAGUGUAACACGUGAAUAACCUGCCCUUGACUGUGGGAUAACUUCAGGAAACUGGGGAUAAUACCGGAUAGGAGCUCCUGCUGCAUGGGGGGGGUUGGAAAGUUUCGGCGGUGGGGGAUGGACUCGCGGCUUAUCAGCUUGUUGGGGGGGUAGUGGCUUACCAGGGCUUGGGGGGGUCGCCGGCCUGAGAGGGGGCCCGCCCACUUGGGGCCUGGGAGACGCCCCAGACCCCAACGGGAGGCAGCAGUGGGGAAUAUUGCACAAGGGUCGGAAGCCUGUGGCGGCAACGCCUCGUGCGGAAUGACGGCCUUCGGGUGGUAAACCGCUUUCGCCUGGGACGAAGCGUGAGUGACGGUAAUGGGUAAAGAAGCACCGGCUAACUACGUG
rnacentral:rRNA from 1 species